AACAGUCCUUUCCUUGCCAUCCAGUUUCGCCCAAGUGACCAGUUAUCUGAUCAUCUGACCCCCUGGAGGCCCGGAGAGUCUUUGUAUUGUGAAAGCAGAGGCUUCUAUCAGGAUGAGACAAAAAACCACGAUGAAGCUGAAUCCUACAUAUUAUCUUGGUGUGGCCAGACAGACUGAGAACGUUCAGAUUUAUUGACUCUAGGGAACCCCUGAUAACUAGGGUAGAGGGCAACGUGGCUGCGAGGCUCUUAACAGGGAGUAGUUGGUUGUAAGUCAAACCUCCCUUUGAGAAUUUAAAAUGCUGGACAAUAUAUAAAACCAUCAGUCUGAAGACACUGGAGAAUUCUGAAGCCACAAGAUCAAGAUUCCUGGGAGAAAGCACAUUGGACAAAUUGAGGAAACUUCUCAAAUCUUCUAAGCCCUAUCAGUCUACCAGGUCCUCAAACUUGCUAUGGACCUGAGGUCACCACUGGUUCAUCAACUGCUCCACAACCUGCCUCAGCCGCAGGGUGAGUGCCAGCCGCCAGCAUGGCUUCCUUUGUGCCUGAUGCAGGUAGAGCUGCAGCAACUAUGGCCAUGGGCCCCCCACUGCACCCAGCAAGUAUCUGAUUUCUCCCCCUAGUACUUGAGUUGGAUGAAGCAACAUGCUGCAGGGCAUAGAAUUUCAUUUCUCUAGUGGGUCUGAAGAGGCCAGUUGAAAAACCUGGAAAUGCAUAGAAGUUAAUGCCUUGUGGGAUAAAAUUUGACCAGUGAAAGAUAAGUCAUUCAGUGGAGGAAGCCACUGAGUAAAUUCCUCUCCUUUUCUCCAUCUGACAGAGUGCUCCAAGACAAGGCUGUCCCCAGACGGUUCAUGUAGCUGUGGUCAUCUGCAAUAAGACACAGGUUUAUAUUCACUUUUCCUUCCUUUUUGCCCAACUUUCAUUUCCCUUUACUUUCACUAUCUCAAGGGUACACCUCCCAACAAACAAUUCUUUUCUAGGGAACUUGGGCCAAGACAGAAUAAAAGUACAGAGAAGGGAGCCCAAUUUGGAUCUUUAGAUUUGUCUAUUUGUAAGCAGAAAGCAGAGGCUGAAGAGCUGAGAGGAGUUUCCAACAGUCUUACAGUGUUGGUGGCAAAAAUUGGACUUGAGGCCCACCAAGAAGGAGAGGCCCAGGUGAACACUCCAGUCCUAACUUGAAACUCCAGAAGGGCUAGAUGUGCCCUCAAAUAUAAUGAAGGCUGGCAUCCAACCAAUUAAAUCUUUGAUGGAAUUACAAUUAAUCUUUCUCUUAUCCAAUUGCCAAACAAAAAUAGAUUCUCUCUGGAAGAUGGUAUUGUCUAGA